rnacentral:rRNA from 1 species
CGAAAGCCUGACGGAGCAAUACCGCGUGGGGGAUGAAGGCUCUUGGGUUGUAAACCCCUUUUCUCAGGGAAGAAAAAAUGACGGUACCUGAGGAAUAAGCAUCGGCUAACUCCGUGCCAGCAGCCGCGGUAAUACGGAGGAUGCAAGCGUUAUCCGGAAUGAUUGGGCGUAAAGCGUCUGUAGGUGGUUUGGCAAGUCUGCCGUUAAAGGUCGGGGCUCAACUCCGAAAAGGCGGUGGAAACUGCCAGACUAGAGUGUGGUAGGGGUAGAGGGAAUUCCCGGUGUAGCGGUGAAAUGCGUAGAUAUCGGGAAGAACACCGGUGGCGAAGGCGCUCUACUGGGCCACAACUGACACUGAGGGACGAAAGCU